AGCUUUACAUCAGGAAGGCCCCCCCCCCCCUCUGGAUCUCGUCUCCUUCACACAUCCCCCACCGACUGAGCUUCUUCUUUAGAGAAGAAGAGCCAUUUCAAUGUCUUCUCCUUAACCAACCCAACAACCCCUGCUCUCUUCUUCCAUCCUCACACCUUCCUGCUCUCACUCCUUCACUCACGUUUUUAGCACACACACACUCCUAAAACAAUACAAGCACUCAAAAUUGCUAGAUUUCGAAAAUCUGGAAAAAUAAAAUCCAAAGAGCUUCAAACAAAAGUUGAAAACUAAAAUUAAAAGGACUGCUUUCAAUUUCUUCCGGUUUUGGAGUCGAUUUCCGGGUCUGUUGAAGGAACUUUGUUGGUGUUUGUUCGCUGCCGGGAGCUCGAAAUUCAUCUUCUAUUUUAGACCCUUGCUUGUUGUAAUCAGUUUAUUUUCAGCUAUUUAGAUCCAGGCAAUACGGGUCGAGCGGCAGUUGCUGAUCUAGGUUCCAGAGUUUGGAGAUUAUCGAGGUAGCUGCAUGACAUUUGCAGGCCUUAACCCUCCUUUUUUAUCUCUGCCGUACUUUCAGUUUAUAUCUUCAGAUACUGUAGUGGACUGUAUUUAUUUAUCUAGACACUCAUGUACACCCUGAUUUUUGGGCUUGAUUGUAUCACUUUGAGAUUUUUCUGAUGCUUCAAACAGUUUUGUUUUAUGUAAAA